rnacentral:lncRNA from 1 species
CUCUACCUUUAUAAUCGGAAAGACUUUAGGGUGCGUUUGGUUCGCACUAUGAAAAAUUACUAGGAGCAAAAAGAUAUCCGAGAAUCUUAUUCCUAUUUAUCCUAUUACUAAGAAUGUAGUAUUUCGAUAUUUGGUUCGUACGGUCAUAUUAUUUAGUCAUGUUAUUUAAAAUUACCAAAAAUAUACAAUUUAUUUAUUUAUUUAAUUUUAAAUAAUACUAUAAAAAAUUUUAAUAUUUUUUUAGAAAAAAGAGAAAGAGAAUAUAGGUUAGAAAGAGAGAGCAUAAUUAAAGAAAUAGAAAGAAAAAUAGAGUCGAGAUUAGAGAGAAUAAGAGAGUUGAAAUUUUAGAAAAAGAGGGAAAGAAAUAACAAUUUAGAAAGAGAAAAAGAGUUGAAGUUUAGAAAGAAAAAGAUAAGUUUAGAGAGAAAUAUGAGAUUAUACUGUAAAGAAAAAUAAUAUCAACUAACCGGCAGGCCGGAAGAAAAAAAAAGAUUAGACAUAUUAUAAUUACUCCAAUCUAUUAAUACAAGGAUAUUCACCCUUCCUCAAAGAAAUGAGAUUAGUACUUUGAGAUGCAUCUCAUUCCCAAAUAAAUCCAGUAUUACCAUCUAGAUUACUUAGUGCGUUUAGCCAAACACCGUCAUAUGUUUUUAUUCUUAUUGGAUUACUAGAAAUCUUAAAAAUAUAGCGCGAACAAAACGUACCCUUAAUAUUAUAAAACUGCGGUGGCAACUAGAGAAGCAUAUAACAACAUGCUUCUCCAAUAAUAAUUUUACAGCACAAAUAGAGAAUAGAUUUAAAGAACUUCACAAUUUUUUGAACCAUCCAUAUAAAAAAUGGGUGCUUUUAGCCACCAAAUUACCAAUAACUUCAAACACUUCUUAACAAGUAAAACUAGAACAGCUAACAACUAAUAACUAUAAAAUUAUUAUAAAAUUAAAAAAAAUAACUUAACUAACUA